UACGUAGGUGGCGAACGUUGUCCGGAUUUACUGGGCGUAAAGCGCGCGCAGGCGGACUGGUUAGUCCGAGGUGAAAUCUCCCGGCUCAACUGGGAGAAGCCCUUGGAUACUGCCAGUCUUGAGACAUCUAGAGGAGAGUGGAAUUCCCGGUGUAGUGGUGGAAUGCGUAGAUAUCGGGAGGAACACCAGUGGCGAAAGCGACUCUCUGGGGAUGUUCUGACGCUGAGGCGCGAAAGCGUGGGGAGCAAACCGGAUUAGAUACCCCGGUAGU
rnacentral:rRNA from 1 species